rnacentral:rRNA from 1 species
UACAGAGGGUGCAAGCGUUGUUCGGAAUUAUUGGGCGUAAAGAGCGCGUAGGCGGUUUGUCGCGUCGAAUGUGAAAACCCGGGGCUCAACCCCGGGCCUGCAUUCGAUACGGGCAGACUAGAGUUCGGUAGGGGAGUCUGGAAUUCCUGGUGUAGCGGUGAAAUGCGCAGAUAUCAGGAGGAACACCGGUGGCGAAGGCGGGACUCUGGGCCGAUACUGACGCUGAGGAGCGAAAGCGUGGGGAGCAAACAGG